ACUGACCCUUGAGGCAUUGCAGGCGUGGCUUCUGUGUGUCAUGUGUGUCGCUAGGUGGCAGAGGAGAGGCUAUGUCUACCCUUAAUGUCCUGACCUAUGAACGUCUGAAUAGUUUAUUCCCUGAAAA